UGCUUUCCCUUUUAGUUUCCUCAUUAUCAAGAGCCUUAGCAAGCAGAUCGUCAGCUUUUUCUUCCUUCUCUCCCAAAACCCACCUCGGAAAUCACUGGAAUAUUAAACCACACUCUCCGGCAACUUCUAAAGUCCCAUUUUAAGAGUUUUUGGAAGAACAAUGGCUUCUGGUGGCAAGCAGCAAUUCCCUCCUCAGAAACAAGGAACUCAGCCUGGGAAAGAACAUGUCAUGGACCCCAAUCCUCAGUUCACAAACCCAGAUUACAAGCCCUCCAAUAAGCUCCAAGGGAAGGUGGCGCUAAUUACAGGAGGGGACUCUGGGAUUGGUCGAGCUGUGUGCUAUCUGUUUGCUCAAGAGGGUGCAACUGUGGCCUUCAUAUAUGUGAAGGAGCAAGAGGACAAGGACGCAAAUGACACACUCCAAAUGAUAAAAAAGGUGAAGACUUCUGAUGCCAAGGACCCCAAGGCCCUUGCAGCCGAUCUGGGUUAUGAUGAAAACUGCAAGAAGGUUGUUGAGGAGGUGGCAAAAGCCUAUGGCCGCAUCCAUAUCCUCAUCAACAAUGCGGCCGAGCAGUACAAGGCGGUCUCCGUGGAAGAGAUUGAUGAGCCCCGUUUGGAGAGGGUUUUCAGAACCAACAUAUUUUCUCAUUUCUACAUGACCAGGCAUGCUUUGAAGCACAUGAAAGAAGGCAGCUCCAUAAUUUGCACAAUCAGUGAACGCCUACAAGUGACACGCCCAACUGCUUGAGUAUACUUCCACCAAGGGAGUCAUUGUGGCAUUCAUUAGAGCACUUUCUCUUCAGCUGGUAAGCAAAGGCAUUCGUGUCAACGGUGUAGCUCCGAGACCCAUCUGAACACCGUUGAUUCCAGCAUCUUUCGAUGAGGAGGAGAUUACACAGUUUGGCUCCGAAGUGCCAAUGCAGCGCGCUGGACAGCCGUAUGAGGUUGCGCCGGCUUACAUCUUCCUUGCUGACAAUGCUUUCUCUUCUUAUUACACUGGCCAAGUUCUCCAUCCCAAUGGUAAUGAUCUGUCUGUGAUAAUGCAUUUGGUCUGAUGAGCACCACCCUUGUUUGUAUUUUAAUGGCUAUUUUGUGAUUUUGCCGGUGGGGCUGUAGUGAAUGCUUGAUGACGUUGUGGAGGAGUCUUUCGGCUGGUGGUUUUGGGUCUUUUGAGUCAUAAUGCAUUAGCUAGUUUCUGUU